GCUGUCAUUGAAUUAGAGUUGCUAUGCCAGUUUCUCUUCCUUUGAUUAAUAAACCAGUUGUUAAUCUGCUUCAGUUGUAGCCCCGUCUCUUCAACCAGUUUCGCCUUAUCGUCUUCCUGUUAAAACAAUGUUUUGGGUAAGGCCAUUUUUUAUGUUGUUCCCACCAAUCUUUCAGAACAGAAGUAGUGUCGCCGGGUAAUUUUCCAGCGCGCCUUUU
rnacentral:lncRNA from 1 species